UACGUAGGGGGCAAGCGUUGUCCGGAUUCAUUGGGCGUAAAGAGCGUGUAGGCGGCCAGGUAGGUCUGCUGUGAAAACUCGAGGCUCAACCUCGAGAUGUCGGCGGAAACCAUCUGGCUAGAGUCCGGAAGAGGAAAGUGGAAUUCCUGGUGUAGCGGUGAAAUGCGUAGAGAUCGGGAGGAACAUCUGUGGCGAAGGCGACUGCCUGGACCAGCACUGACACUGAGGCACGAAAGCGUGGGGAGCAAACAGG
rnacentral:rRNA from 1 species